rnacentral:rRNA from 1 species
UGCCUACGGGGGGCAGCAGUGAGGAAUAUUGGUCAAUGGGCGGGAGCCUGAACCAGCCAAGUCGCGUGAGGGAAGACGGUCCUAUGGAUUGUAAACCUCUUUAGGCGGGGAGCAAUGCCGGGCACGCGUGCCCGGAGGGAGAGUACCCGCAGAAUAAGCAUCGGCUAACUCCGUGCCAGCAGCCGCGGUAAUACGGAGGAUGCGAGCGUUAUCCGGAUUUAUUGGGUUUAAAGGGUGCGUAGGCGGUAUUUUAAGCUAGUGGUAAAACGUCGGGGCU